AGUGAACGCUGGCGGUAGGCCUAACACAUGCAAGUCGAACGGCAGCACAGUAAGCGCUUGCUCUUACGGGUGGCGAGUGGCGGACGGGUGAGGCAUACAUCGGAAUCUACUUUUUCGUGGGGGAUAACGUAGGGAAACUUACGCUAAUACCGCAUACGACCUACGGGUGAAAGCAGGGGAUCUUCGGACCUUGCGCGAUUCAAUUAGCCGAUGUCGGAUUAGCUAGUUGGCGGGGUAAAGGCUCACCAAGGCGACGAUCCGUAGCUGGUCUGAGAGGAUGAUCAGCCACACUGGAACUGAGGCACGGUCCAGACUCCUACGGGAGGCAGCAGUGGGGAAUAUUGGACAAUGGGCGCAAGCCUGAUCCAGCCAUACCGCGUGGGUGAAGAAGGCCUUCGGGUUGUAAAGCCCUUUUGUUGGGAAAGAAAAGCAGCAGGUUAAUACCCCGCUGUUCUGACGGUACCCAAAGAAUAAGCACCGGCUAACUUCGUG
rnacentral:rRNA from 1 species